AUGGAGAAACAGCAUGUGUGCUAAAAUUGGGACAAUAUAGAAAAGAUCAGCAUGACGCUUUUGCAAGGAUGACAUGGAAAUUCAUGAAGCAUCCUAUAUGUGA
ensembl:snRNA U6 U6 spliceosomal RNA